ACCACAACCACAAGUGCUCCAACCACAACCACAACUACAGCCAGUCCAACAACAACCACAGUAGCACCGACCACAACCACAAGUGCUCCAACCACAACCACAGCAGCUCCAACCACAACCACAAGUGCUCCAACCACAACCACAGCAGCUCCAACCACAACAACAGCAGCUCCACCCACAACCACUGCUACUCCAACCACCACAACAGAUGCUCCAACAACAACCACAGCUGCUCCAACCACAACCACAGCAGCUCCCACAACAACAACAGUUGCUCCAACCACAACCACAGCAACUCCCACAACAACAACAGUAGCACCGACCACAACCACCGCGGCUCCAACCACAACAACAACUGCACCAACCACAACCACAGCUGCACCAACCACAACCACAGCUGCUCCAACCACAGUUUCUACAACAGCAACAACUACCAUUGGCACAACUAAAAUGACAGUUGUCCGCCGGAUGACCUUCAGGUCUCCUAAGGAUAUCUUUACCAGCGAUCUUGAAAUCAGUUCUUCGACUGCUUUCAACCAACGAUCCCAACUUUUGUUGAGUCGUCUUUAUGCCCUCUACAAAGGAGCAUUUCCAUCAUUCUUGAGUUUGACAAUUGUCUCAUUCAGAAGGGGAUCAGUUAUCAACACGCUGGACCUCGUAUUUGAAGCAACAAAUCUUCCGAGUGAUCAAGAUAUCGAAAAUGUUUUAAUCAAUGAGGCACCAAACAUAGAUGAAUUCUCAGUGGAAGAGUCAACGGUUUGCAUUG